AGUCCCGUGCCCUUCCGAAAGUAAUCCCGCGUUGCUCGCGAGAUUUCACCCGCCUCCCUCCUACCAUUUCCUUUAACGGUUUCCUCGAGGGGGGUGGGGUAGAAGGCCAAGCCAGGUCACAGCUAAACCAGACUCUUCACAAAUUUGGUACUACAUUUGACUCCCAGCAACAGAAACUAAUUCAAGAGAUGCAAACCUGGAUUAUGUGAAAAUGGACAUAGCUGUGGAACGCAAAAACACGUUCAUAGGCUAAGAGGAAGGAGAGAGUGCAAAAUAUUCGGGACAGGCAUCAAAUCUACAUCGUUCUGCGUGCAGCCAGUGAAUGAGGAAGCCAUGGCAGCUAGGGUGACAGGAGGCCAAGCAAUCACUGAAGGAGAAAUGGGAGUGCAGCAUAGGAGGGGACAAUGCUGGAGGUGCAGUAGGAGCUAGGGGAGGAGGUACCUCAAAGCUGAGAGGAAAGGCAGCACCUUGGGGAAACCCCGAAACAUGAGUUGAGUGCAUCUUCCACAAGGGCAGAUAGAUUCCCAUUAGUCGGGCUUCGAUUUGUGAGUGAAUUGGAUAGAACAAUGAAGGACAUUUCACAUUGAAGCAGGAGCAGGUGACAAAGUGACGGCUAAGGGUAGGCCCACAGAGAGGACUGAGGCCAGCUCAGUUCAAUCCAGAUGCUCGUCUUCGUGGCAGAGUGAAGGAAGAUAUAUGGGUAUCUAUCAGUUGUUGAGAAAAUGAGGACCCUUGAAACUCAAACAUAUGAGUAGCCAUCUUCCUGAAGAAUUUAAUGCAGCAUGGCAACAAAUAGCUGGAGGAACAAUGCAAUAGUCUCCAUUUGGGUUUGGCAAUGUUGCAUUGCAUUGAUAUGUCAGUUGCAGUAGUGCUUUGAAACUAAAUGGAAACACAGCCAAGUGCUCCCCUGCUUUUGUUAACAAGCAAGUGAAUGUGGGCCCUGAAGGGGAAGAGGGAUGCAGGGAUAAUGGCAAAAUGGCUCUCCCUGCUCAGCACCUAAGUCAGAAUCAUUGACACCUUGUCUUGUUCCGCACGCCCAAGACUGGCCCUCAUAGACAUAGAUGGGGCAACCUGUGGCAGACUUUCACUCACUCUGACUUAUAGAGGACGUGUGUUAUGUGCAUCUCAUUUAGUGGAACAAAAACAGGUGCCUGCCAUUCUUGCUCUGGUGAUAGAGGUAGCAUCACAUAAAAUUAUGAGUAAGAUUAGCAAGUAACCUUUACACCACAAAAAUGAUAGGGCAAACAAGAGAAAAUACGCCUGUAUGCAAAUUCCUUAUCAAUAACAUCCAUAAGUUAUGCUAUGAUGAGGUUGGAGGAGUGAAUUGACUCUCUAGUCUCGCUAUUCCAGUAGCCAUGACAUAAAUUUAAUUGCUUUACCCAGUUACUGAAAUACCAUUUUACUUUUUAUACAUUAGGUUUAGAAAUUUUAGGAAACUGUUCAAAUUUGAUGAGAAGGAAGUGUUGGAUAGAUUGUUAAUAUUUAGUUGACAUGGCACUCGGUCUGAAAUAAAUGAAUCAAAUGAUGUCAAAGAAAAUGAGAGUAGAGAAUGCAGAGAUACUGGCCAUAAUUGUUUAGUCUUCUGUGAACUCUUAGGAGGUGUCAGAAGAUUUGUUCAAGAAAUGUUGUAAGGACAAGCCCAGCAACUGUAGACUAGUCGAUGGUGGCGAAGUUUCUAGAAACAGUUAUUAGGAUAUAGUUAGUAGUCAUGUGCAUAAUAGGUGGGUUGAUUAGAAAGAGCCAGAGUGGAUUUCAAAGGUGGAAAUCAUAUUUAACUAACUUCCUGGAGAUUUUUGAAGGUAAUGCUGUUGAUGUGGUAUACAUAGAUUUUCAAAAGGCGUUCACUACGGUGAUGUGAAGGUGCUGAUCCUGGCCUAAGAAGUCAUACUACUCCGGGUUAUAGUCCAACAGGUUUAUUUGAAAUCACAAGCUUUCAAUGCACUGCUCCUUUUUCAGGUCAGCAAUGUCCUACCUUGCCUGAAGCUGGGAGGUAAUCAGAGGUCAGUAACUACUGUGAGCCACUAUGCCCUGUCAGAGGCUGUGGUUGUUUGCAGCACAGCUAGUCAGAAGUCCAGGCAGCAGGAUGUCUCCCUUGGGGUCCUCAGGAGGAAGGCCCGGCAGCAUCCACUAAAGUGUCUGACAGGCACGAGAUCCAUUAAGUCUUUCUGCUAAGAGUCUGCAUGUGUGGCUUGGCACUUUUACAGGCAAUACAUGAGACACUUGACUAUCAAAGAAGAUUCCAUCCUCAGUUUCAUAAAACUCCUCUGCAGCGCCUUAUAUUGUUUAAUUGCAUGAAAGAUGCUAUAUAACUACAAGUUGAUAUUGUUGGUGAAUGUACUAAGUGUAUGGUCUCUUUUCAUAGAAGCCUGAUGAUGGAAUCAAACCCCACAUCCUGGUGCUGUGAGACAGCAGUGCUAACUGCUGAGCCACUGUGCCUCUUGUUCUACCAGAGGAAGCAAUGUUCAAAUCUACUAAACCAGUAUACUUUUCACAUUUUUAAACACCUCAACCAGAUUACCUUUUAAUUUCCCACAUAAAGAAAUACGUACGUAACCUGACACGUCAAUUUAACCCUGAUAUGUAUGGUCCUAGAAGUGUCUAAAAGGGUUAAUAUUUGAUUGAGUUCAAUAAAUACCACCUACUAUGAUGACAUCUUGAGGACUUGGUGGAAGAGGAAUGUAGCAUAUGUUGGGAGGUUCACCUGAAGGUCCAGUAUUGCCAACAGCCUUUGUGGUAAGGUAGAGUUUAUUGUGAUAAUCUGUAAAUAACCACAGAGCUGUAAUUAACUAUGUCUUGUAUCUGCAAGACUCUUAUUAUUAGAUCAGAAGGGGGCUAUCCUUGUGUACACCAGACCACAAAAGCCCCUAAAGAAUGCACACUUCAGAGGAUAUAGAUAGUAGCAAAUCUGAUGAAAUGUUGCUGCACUCCCUCUAAAUGUAGGAGCCUGGUUGGUUGCGUACAAUUCCUGCGAUAAAACUUUGAAGCCAAAUGCAUGAUCAUCUGUUUUGCUACUGUUGAUGCUGAUACAUAUGCUUGAAGAAUUGACCUAGCCAAAAAACUCUUUCACAAGUCCCUGUAGGAGAAGAAAAGUGGUGAUGAUGAUGAUACUGGUAAUAGCUUUGCAGUUCAGUGCUUCAUGUGCUGCUGAGUGACUGCAAAACUUAGCAAGGAGCCCAACCUUGUGCAAAGUCAGUACUACUUAAAGGAGAAGAAGUUAAUUCUGGUCAGAACAAGGACAGCAUAUGUUUGGAGAACAGUGCAUGACUUCUAGAAUGUAGCAUAACAGGAAAGAAACCCUCUACCACACACCUGUCAACAAUCACUAUCAGCUAUGACUUGUACUUAGCGUCCAUUGCUUUACCUGACCCUCGCACAGUUAGUACUGCUGCAGACUUUACCUUGGUGGUGCCAGCUAUUAUCCCUUGACUGACGCAUCAGACAAAGAAUCAUGUUGUACCGCAUUUACUGAUAUACUUUCCUCUUUUGCAGAGCCAGGUGACACCUAACCAGAGCGGGCCACAACAGAUGCAUGUCCUCAUGCCAGUUGAGAAGAUGGCUCUGGCCAUCGUUGGAAGUGGGACUGUGACUAGGUGCAGAGCUGGAACCACUGAAGAUGAUGGCAUCACCCUACCUAAUUCAUCUUCUCACAACCCCCUUAUCCCCGCAGCCCCCCCAUCCCACACACACUCCUUAGACUUGCAAUCAGCAGAUGCUGUAACCAUGCACCUGUUAAUUUCCUGCACUGCAGAACCAACAUUGUGCCAUACUACUUUCACAUACUCAGGAACUGCUUCUUGGCCAGGAAAUGGUGCAAGAGUGUGACAUCUCAAAGGGAUGGUAGACUGAUACAGUUUGCUCAAUCUUUCUCACAACUCGGACAUUGGCACAGCCCGUACUUCAGAGGGUAGCAUUUGGUUGUACUGGCACAUAGUGAAUCGGUGGCCUGCAGCUGAAGUAGGGGGAGUGAGUAGUAUUGGCGCCAGUUCCCAAGGUGGUGAGGUCAUGCAGGUUUGGUGCAGGAGAUUCAGAUGAACAUUCUGAGUGGAGCUGCACUGAAAGGUAUGGUAGGCAUGCACAUUGAUAUCAGUCAAGGAGCACGGAGAAGCACAUGGGUAUCGGGCAGUCACACUGAAUCUGAGCAUUGGAAGUUCAGACUGAGAAGCUGCAAUUUUAGUAUGUUGCUCAAUUUGUAUGUCUAAUUGCUGCCCAUAUCAACAUUCAAAGGGGCUUGCAAAAUUUCACAGCAACCCAGUAAUCAUCAACACAUAACUAGGACAGCUAAUGCAUCAUCCUGGGGGAAUGACACUGUCUCUUUGGGGUAUAAACCUGCUGAACUUUCUCAGGAUAAUAGCAUUUGUUCUACUGUCAGUGUCACACUGUCAAUGCCCUUGCUGUUGCCCAUCAGACUGCCUCCAGAUUGCUACCCUCCAUGUUAAAAUGGUGCAGUACAAAGCUGGACCACUGAUGAAGGGGUUGGGGAGGGUGAGUUGUGGACAUGAUUGCUGAUGGGAUAUUGGGGUUGCAUUCAUUGGCAGUACAUUGAUUAGGUGCUAAUGGACAUUCCAGCCAAAGUAGGUGUGUUGGUUGCCUUUCCCACUAAGUGGUUCUUUCUCAUCCCUAUGCUCUGCUGACUGGCAUGUAUUUGGUGACAUGGGUGGCAUCUCCAUGUUGGUGAAGUUGCAUGGAAUAAGCAGACCACAAUGAAUUAUAACACAUGCCAAUACCAAAGGGCUCUGCCAGUGUACAAUCCAACCUUAGGAAAUAAGUUUUGGGCAGUUUGAAAAUAUUUCCUGUGACAGCAUGACUGACAUUUGUAUGCUAUCCAUGUGUGGUUUGAUUGCGCACUGCAGUCAUGACCAUAGAAACUAGGAGCAGGGGUAUGCCAUUUGGCCCAUUGCUGCAUUAUUCAAUGUGGUCAUAGUUGAUCCUCUGUCUCGACUCCAUCGUCCCUCUCUGUGCAAGACCCUUGAUGCCUCAGUGACUUCUGUCAUACACAAUUCCGUAGGUUCACCACCCUCUGAGUAAAGAAAUUUCUCCUCACCUCAGUCACAAAUAGACUACCCCAUAUCCUGCAAAAUUCCCUGUUCUGGUCACCCCAACCAGGGGAAGUAUCCAUUCUGUAUCCAGUCUUCACCAGUCAUAAUUUAUAUGUGUCAAUGAGAUCUCCUUUCAAUCUUCUAAACUCCAGUAAAUAUAGGCCCAGUCAGCCUAAUCUCUCCUAAUACAAUAAACCUGCCAUCUCAAGAAUCAAUUUGCUGAAUAUUCACUCCAUUCCUUCCAUGGAAAGUAUUUGUUUUCUCAGGUAAGUAGACCUAAACUGCACACCAUACUCUAGGUGUGAUCUCACUAAGACCCUUCCCAGCUGCAGUAAGGUCUUGUACUCAACCACCUUACAGAAAAAGGCCAGUAUUCAAUUUGCCUUCCUUGCUGCUUGCUGCACCUGCAUGUUUGCUUUCAGUCACUUGUGUGACACCAGAUCCUCUUGUAUAUCAACAUUUCCCAAUCUAUCACCAUUUAAACAAUACUCGGCUACUCUGUUUUUCCCACCAAAAUAGCAAACUUUACUAUCCAUAUAUUACAUUAUAUAAAUUCUGACAGGACUGGUCAGACUGUUUGUAGAAUUGAUGUUACCCCUGGUUGGGGUGUCCAGAACAAGGAAUUGUGAUAUAUUUGCUAUGUAUUUGAUGACAUACUCAAUUUAUCUAAGUGACUGUGAAGCCUCUUUAUGUCCACCUCACCAUUCACAAUCCCACCUAGUUUUGCAUUGUCAGCAAACCUAAGUUAUUAGAUUUGAUCUCUUCAUCCAGUCAUUGGUAUUGGAGAGCUGCUGUCCAUACACUGAUCUAGACUAGUACAUCCACUCUGAAAAAAGACCCACGUACUUCUGUUUCUUGUCUUCUAAUGAAUUCUCAAUCCACAGUAAUAUAUUACCAUUAAUCCCAUGUGCUUUGAUUUUAUACUCUAACGUCUUAUAUGUGACCUUAUCAUAUUCCAAGCACACCACAUCCGGUUGUUUUCCUUUAUCUGUUAUACUGGUUAUGUCCUCAAAAAUUUCUGGUAGGAUUGCUGAACGUGAAUCCUUCUUGCCUUUAUCUAACCCUAUUGAUAUUUUCUAACUGCCCCAUUAUCAAAUCCUUUAUGACAGAUUCUGGCACUUUCCCUACUACUGAUCUUAGGCUAAUCAAUCAGUAAUCCUUUGCUUUUGUCUGCCCUUUCUUUAAAAUAAAUGGGGCUAUUUUUCCACCCCCUAACUUGUCUCUGUAAAGCCCUGGUCAGCCAGCCGUCGGUCUCUGGUUUGACAUGGUGACUGAUGAAACAAUAGAUUGCCGUAGAAUAAAGGAAUGCUGGCUAAUGCUGGAUAUCAGGUAUUCACUGAUGUACUGGCUUAGCAAUAAUAGAUUGCAUGUGUGCAAAUAAAAAGCAAAACUCUUCUACAUUUAAAGCAUGUUACUGCACUUGAAUGAAGCAUGAUUUAAAAGUCUGAAAUGAUGCCUGAUUUACUCCACUUUUGCAGUGAGUUUAUCUAUUGAAUGGUUGAUUCCAGACCAGAUUUUUGGUCCUGUUUCUAAGCUAUGCUGAAGUAUUUGUUCUUAUGGUAUCACUACAUUGGAUAACAACUUGCAAUUAUAUACUACCUUUAAAAUAGUUAAACAAUCCUUGACUUCUUCACAGGAGUGGUCAGAAUAAAGACAGAAUUUGACACUGACCCAAAUAAUGCAAUAUUAGGACAGAUGAUCAAUCAAAUGUUUGUCAAAGAUUUAAAGAAUGACUUACAAGUGGGGAAAGAGGAAGCGAGACAGUCUGCUUUAGGAAAGGAAUUCCAACUGAAGAGUAAAUAGACUCUUCAUUACUGAUUAGAAGAUUCUUGAAUGUUAAACAGCCUUAAUCCUCAAAUUCAAGACUUUUUUAUAAUUAGUAAAGAUCAGCAUUCAUUUAAAAAUGGCUUUUUAAUUUUUUUUUAUCCUGUUGCGAUAAUUUGUCUUCAACCCAUGGAGAGUUGGCUGUGCAUGAUAAUGUGCCUGUAGUAAAACACCAUUGAAUCAUGUUGUUUCCUUUAUGAUAAUUAAGUGGAGACUUCUCUUGAAGCAGUGAUAAUGGGAACUGCAGAUGCUGGAGAAUCCAAGAUAACAAAGUGUGGCGUUGGAUGAACACAGCAGGCCAAGCAG